rnacentral:rRNA from 1 species
AGAUUGAACGCUGGCGGCAGGCCUAACACAUGCAAGUCGAGCGGUAGAGAGGUGCUUGCAUCUCUUGAGAGCGGCGGACGGGUGAGUAAUGCCUAGGAAUCUGCCUAGUGGUGGGGGAUAACGUUCGGAAACGGACGCUAAUACCGCAUACGUCCUAACGGGAGAAAGCGGGGGACCUUCGGGCCUCGCGCCAUUAGAUGAGCCUAGGUCGGAUUAGCUAGUUGGUGAGGUAAUGGCUCACCAAGGCGACGAUCCGUAACUGGUCUGAGAGGAUGAUCAGUCCACACUGGAACUGAGACACGGUCCAGGACCU